rnacentral:rRNA from 1 species
CACGUAGUUAGCCGUGGCUUAUUCGUCAGGUACCGUCUUCUGCUCUUCCCUGACAAAAGAAGUUUACAACCCGAAAGCCUUCUUCCUUCACGCGGCGUUGCUGGGUCAGGCUUGCGCCCAUUGCCCAAUAUUCCCCACUGCUGCCUCCCGUAGGAGUUUGGGCCGUGUCUCAGUCCCAAUGUGGCCGGUCACUCUCUCAAGCCGGCUACUGAUCGUCGCUUUGGUAGGCCAUUACCCUGCCAACUGGCUAAUCAGACGCGGGCCCAUCCUGUACCUAUAAAUAUUUGAUGGAAAUAUCAUGCGGUAUCUCCAUGUUAUGCGGUUUUAGCAGCCGUUUCCAACUGUUACUCCCCCUGUACAGGGCAGGUUACCCACGCGUUACUCACCCGUCCGCCACUAAGUCUUAACUCCUUCCAUCCGAAAACUUCCGCACUAAGACCCCGUUCGACUUGCAUGUUGUUAGGCACGCGCCAGCGUUCAUCCUGAGCCAGGAUCAAACUCU